rnacentral:tRNA from 1 species
AGUUAAAUGUCGUGAAACCCGCUAUUUUCCUAUGACUUCCCCAUUCACACGGCGGGGGCCACAGGUUCAAGUCCUGUACUGCCCACCA